UGUACAGCAGAAAUUAACACAAAAUUGUAAAUCAACCAUACUUCAAUAAAAUAACGUCUGUAUCUUAGAAUAGUGAAUAUAAUAAGAACACACUAAAAACUGAAGGAAUGAAAAACAUUUUUGGGACGAGGCACUGUAGGAAUAAGUAUGAAGUAAUUAAAUGAUAUUGUUAUCUUAAACUGUUUGGAACUAAAUGUUUUCUUAUGUUAUAGCUUAUAGGUUGCAAAGUCAGAGAAUAUGAGUUCAGGUAAGAAUCCAGAAGGCUGGUUAGCAGUACGUGAUAGCAGCCUUUCCAGUGAGGUUGAAGAGAGCCCCCCCUGGAGCCCGUCUUUUCCAAUAAAUGGAAAAUCCGACCUGCAAGGUGUGAUGCUUAAGGUCUUCAUUUCCUGCGAGCACAGUAUGAAAAGAUUACUCUACUGAAACAGAGUUAUUCUUAACACAAGGAGUUAGGCCUGUGCAAUAUUGAAGUAUAUCUUCUCUUAUCAACGGUGGAUCAAAGGAGUCAGAAGCCAAUUGCAUUGGGUAUCCCUUGGACCAUCUCAAAAGAAAAGAGUUUGUUCCUUUCCUUUAUAGGUCAUUACAAAACAUUGAGUACAGUUCCCUGGGCUAAUUAUUAGAAAAAUGCAAAUAUGUUAGGACAUUACACCAGCCCUGAUGAUUAAGGAUGGUAAGUACAGCAGAAAUUAACCAAACUGUAAAUCAA